UACGUAGGGGGCAAGCGUUGUCCGGAAUUAUUGGGCGUAAAGAGCGUGUAGGCGGUCCGGUAAGUCAGCUGUGAAAGUCAAGGGCUCAACCCUUGAAUGCCGGUUGAUACUGUCGGGCUAGAGUCCGGAAGAGGCGAGUGGAAUUCCCGGUGUAGCGGUGAAAUGCGCAGAUAUCGGGAGGAACACCAAUGGCGAAGGCAGGUCUCUGGGCCACUACUGACGCUGAGAAGCGAAAGCAUGGGGAGCGAACAGG
rnacentral:rRNA from 1 species